CAGUCGCCGCGGGAAUACGAAGGGGGCUAGCGUUGCUCGGAAUUACUGGGCGUAAAGGGAGCGUAGGCGGGUCGUUUAGUCAGAGGUGAAAUCCCGGGGCUCAACCUCGGAACUGCCUUUGAUACUGGCGACCUUGAGUAUGGGAGAGGUGAGUGGAACUCCGAGUGUAGAGGUGAAAUUCGUAGAUAUUCGGAAGAACACCAGUGGCGAAAGCGACUCACUGGCCCAUUACUGACGCUGAGGCUCGAAAGCGUGGGGAGCAAACAGGAUUAGAUACCCCGGUAGUCCCUGUCUCUUAUAC
rnacentral:rRNA from 1 species